rnacentral:rRNA from 1 species
CGCGUAGGCGGAUGUUACAGUCAGGCGUGAAAUUCCUGGGCUCAACCUGGGGGCUGCGUUUGAUACGUGAUGUCUGGAGUUCGGAAGAGGGUCGUGGAAUUCCCAGUGUAGAGGUGAAAUUCGUAGAUAUUGGGAAGAACACCGGUGGCGAAGGCGGCGACCUGGUCCGAUACUGACGCUGAGGCGUGAAAGCGUGGGGAGCAAACAGGAUUAGAUACCCUGGUAGUCCACGCUGUAAACGAUGUGCGCUGGAUGUUGGGUGACAUAGUCAUUCAGUGUCGCAGCUAACGCGAUAAGCGCACCGCCUGGGGAGUACGGCCGCAAGGUUGAA